rnacentral:rRNA from 1 species
CACGUAGGGUGCGAGCGUUUGUCCGGAAUUAUUGGGCGUAAAGAGCUCGUAGGCGGUGUGUCGCGUCGGCCGUGAAAACCUGUGGCUUAACUAUGGGCUUGCGGUCGAUACGGGCAUCACUGGAGUUCGGCAGGGGAGACUGGAAUUCCUGGUGUAGCGGUGGAAUGCGCAGAUAAUCAGGAGGAACACCGGUGGCGAAGGCGGGUCUC